UACGGAGGGGGCUAGCGUUGUUCGGAAUUACUGGGCGUAAAGCGUGUGUAGGCGGCUUUGCAAGUCGGAUGUGAAAGCCCCGGGCUCAACCCGGGAAGUGCACUCGAUACUGCAGAGCUUGAGUGUCGGAGAGGUUGGUGGAAUUCUCGGUGUAGAGGUGAAAUUCGUAGAUAUCGAGAGGAACACCGGCGGCGAAGGCGGCCAACUGGACGAACACUGACGCUGAGACACGAAAGCGUGGGGAGCAAACAGG
rnacentral:rRNA from 1 species